GACGUAGGGCGCGAGCGUUGUCCGGAUUUAUUGGGCGUAAAGAGCUCGUAGGCGGUCUGUUGCGUCCGCUGUGAAAACUCGGGGCUUAACCCCGAGCCUGCAGUGGAUACGGGCAGACUAGAGGUAGGUAGGGGAGAAUGGAAUUCCCGGUGUAGCGGUGAAAUGCGCAGAUAUCAGGAGGAACACCGGUGGCGAAGGCGGGUCUCUGGGCCGAUACUGACGCUGAGGAGCGAAAGCGUGGGGAGCGAACAGG
rnacentral:rRNA from 1 species